GAUGAACGCUGGCGGCGUGCCUAAUACAUGCAAGUCGAGCGAACAGAUGAGGAGCUUGCUCCUCUGACGUUAGCGGCGGACGGGUGAGUAACACGUGGAUAACCUACCUAUAAGACUGGGAUAACUUCGGGAAACCGGAGCUAAUACCGGAUAAUAUAUUGAACCGCAUGGUUCAAUAGUGAAAGACGGUUUUGCUGUCACUUAUAGAUGGAUCCGCGCCGCAUUAGCUAGUUGGUAAGGUAACGGCUUACCAAGGCAACGAUUCGUAGCCGACCUGAGAGGGUGAUCAGCCACACUGGAACUGAGACACGGUCCAGACUCCUACGGGAGGCAGCAGUAGGGAAUCUUCCGCAAUGGGCGAAAGCCUGACGGAGCAACGCCGCGUGAGUGAAGAAGGUCUUCGGAUUGUAAAACUCUGUUAUUAGGGAAGAACAAAAGUGAAAGUAACUAUGCCCGUCUUGACGGUACCAAAUCAGAAAGCCACGGCUAACUACGUG
rnacentral:rRNA from 1 species